rnacentral:rRNA from 1 species
UACGGAGGGAGCUAGCGUUGUCCGGAAUCACUGGGCGUAAAGGGCGCGUAGGUGGCGAUCCAAGUCCAUGGUGAAAGCUCGAUGCUCAACAUCGAGUCGGCCACGGAUACUGGGUUGCUUGAGCACUGUAGGGGCAGAUGGAAUUCCGGGUGUAGCGGUGGAAUGCGCAGAUAUCAGGAGGAACACCUGAGGUGAAGACGGGUUGCUGGGCCGACACUGACGCUGAGUGCGCGAAAGCCAGGGGAGCAAACGGG